UACGUAGGGUGCGAGCGUUAAUCGGAAUUACUGGGCGUAAAGCGUGCGCAGGCGGUUUUGUAAGUCAGAUGUGAAAGCCCCGGGCUUAACCCGGGAAUGGCAUUGAAUACUACUGUGCUGGAGGAUCGGAGGGGGGACUGGAAUUCUUGGUGUAGCAGUGAAAUGCGUAGAUAUCAAGAGGAACACCAGUGGCGAAGGCGAGUCCCUGGACGAUACCUGACACUGAGGCACGAAAGCCAAGGGAGCAAACAGG
rnacentral:rRNA from 1 species